CCAAAAACCAUCAUCAGCUGGUUGCUGUUUACUGAUCCUAUUAUAGCUUGUGUCUCUUGUGAAUAGAACCUUUCUUGGAAUCCAAAUUUAAGACCACUGGCCCAAAACGCCUGUCCGGACACAUAUGAAUUGGGACACAUUUUUGCGCAAUUUGAAACGUGCUGCACAAGUACGCAAUCUUUUGGGCACCAUUUUUAGGGAUCAAAUACCUUAUAUAUUUGAUAGGGUUGAAGAAAGGGGAAGGAAAGGUAUUAGAGGGAGAAGUUGUGUUACCUGAGGCAGGAGAGGAGCAAUGUACCGUAUGUUAAAAUAACAUGGUUUUCUAUCCUUAAA